UACGGAGGGUCCAAGCGUUAUCCGGAUUUAUUGGGUUUAAAGGGUGCGUAGGCGGCCUGUUAAGUCAGGGGUGAAAGACGGUAGCUCAACUAUCGCAGUGCCCUUGAUACUGACGGGCUUGAAUGAACUAGAGGUAGGCGGAAUGUGACAAGUAGCGGUGAAAUGCAUAGAUAUGUCACAGAACACCGAUUGCGAAGGCAGCUUACUAUGGUUUUAUUGACGCUGAGGCACGAAAGCGUGGGGAUCAAACAGG
rnacentral:rRNA from 1 species